AGCCAUGCGAGUCAUUGUAGUAAUACAAGGCAGACGGCUCAGUAACGCGUAGUCAACCUACCCUAUGGACGGGGAUAACCUCGGGAAACUGAGAAUAAUACCCGAUAGAACAUUAUUCCUGGAAUGGUUUAUGUUUCAAAUAAUUUAUUGCCGUAGGAUGGGACUGCGGCCUAUCAGUUUGUUGGUGAGGUAAUGGCCCACCAAGACUAUUACAGGUACGGGCUCUGAGAGGAGUAGCCCGGAGAUGGGUACUGAGACACGGACCCAGGCCCUAUGGGGCGCAGCAGGCGAGAAAACUUUGCAAUGUGCGAAAGCACGACAAGGUUAAUCCGAGUGGUUUCUGCUAAAGGAACCUUUUGUCAGUCCUAGAAACACUGAUGAAUAAGGGGUGGGCAAGUUCUGGUGUCAGCCGCCGCGGUAAAACCAGCACCUCAAGUGGUCAGGAUGAUUAUUGGGCCUAAAGCAUCCGUAGCCUGCUUUGUUAGUUUUCGGUUAAAUCCAUAUGCUCAACGUAUGGGCUGCCGGGAAUACUGCAAAGCUAGGGAGUGGGAGAAGUAGAACGUACUCGGUAGGAAGGGGUAAAAUUCUUUGAUCUAUUGAUGACCACCUGUGGCGAAGGCGGUCUACCAGAACACGUCCGACGGUGAGGGAUGAAAGCUGGGGGAGCAAACCGGAUUAGAUACCCGGGUAGUCCCAGCUGUAAACUAUGCAAACUCGGUGAUGCAUUGGCUUGAUGCCAAUGCAGUGCCGCAGGGAAGCCGUUAGUUUGUCGCCUGGGAAGUACGUACGCAAGUAUGAAACUUAAAGGAAUUGGCGGGG
rnacentral:rRNA from 1 species